ACGAACGCUGGCGGCGUGCUUAACACCUGCAAGUCGAACGGAAAGGCCCUGCUUUUGUGGGGUGCUCGAGUGGCGAACGGGUGAGUAACACGUGAGUAACCUGCCCUUGACUUUGGGAUAACUUCAGGAAACUGGGGCUAAUACCGGAUAGGAGCUCCUGCUGCAUGGUGGGGGUUGGAAAGUUUCGGCGGUUGGGGAUGGACUCGCGGCUUAUCAGCUUGUUGGUGGGGUAGUGGCUUACCAAGGCUUUGACGGGUAGCCGGCCUGAGAGGGUGACCGGCCACAUUGGGACUGAGGUACGGCCCAGACUCCUACGGGAGGCAGCAGUGGGGAAUAUUGCACAAUGGGCGGAAGCCUGAUGCAGCAACGCCGCGUGCGGGAUGACGGCCUUCGGGUUGUAAACCGCUUUCGCCUGUGACGAAGCGUGAGUGACGGUAAUGGGUAAAGAAGCACCGGCUAACUACGUG
rnacentral:rRNA from 1 species